UCGGGAAUUUUGGGCAAUGGGCGAAAGCCUGACCCAGCAACGCCGCGUGAGGGAUGAAGUAUUUCGGUAUGUAAACCUCGAAAGAAUGGGAAGAAUAAAUGACGGUACCAUUUAUAAGCUCCGGCUAACUACGUGCCAGCAGCCGCGGUAAUACGUAGGGAGCAAACGUUGUUCGGAUUUACUGGGCGUAAAGGGCGCGUAGGCGGCGCGGUAAGUCACUUGUGAAAUUUCUGAGCUUAACUCAGAACGGCCAAGUGAUACUGCUGUGCUAGAGUGCGGAAGAGNCAACCGGAAUUCUUGGUGUAGCGGUGAAAUGCGUAGAUAUCAAGAGGAACACCUGAGGCGAAGGCGGGUUGCUGGGCCGACACUGACGCUGAUGCGCGAAAGCCAGGGGAGCAAACG
rnacentral:rRNA from 1 species